rnacentral:lncRNA from 1 species
AUGUCUGCGGAGCUCUCUCAUUUCGCUCCACACGGACUCAGAGCGGAAGUCGCUCCUAGUCCGCGCCUUUGCUUUUCUCCACGCGGCAGGGGUCUGCACCGGGUGCCCCCCUUCCGGCCACGCGAGCCUCCUCGCCGCAGUGUCGUCCUCCAGAAGGGUGUUGACAGGGUCCCGGACUUCAACCUGUACCCGCCCCCUUCCCGCCCAGCUCUUCGGAGAUGCGCGGCUCGCGAGGGGCUGCCAGCUGUUUUGUUCAUGACUGCUCAUAGGAGGCCCUUGACAAAGAUGGUGAAACCGAGGGGAAGGGAGCAGUGGCCACACAACGUUUCGCGGGGAGCGCAGCAAAGCCUCUGCGAUGGACCCCGUGCUUCGGCUACACCAGACCAGGUAAAGCCUUUAACCCGUGCUCUGCACUCUUCCUGGGAUGUCUUCCCCCUCUUCUUUGCCUGCUGAAAUACUUAGCUUUCAAGGCAUGGCUCUGAACCUGCCUCCUCCAGGAAGCCUUCCUUCAUCCUUCUCAGAUGUCCUCUCACCCCCUUUUCUGAGCACUGAGAGCAUUUUAGCUGGCCCCCCUUUUUGCUACAUGUCCCUUUCCCAACAUAAUAGUUGCUAUUUUCUUCAGAUAUAUAGUCCAGGAAAUUUACAUGCAGCUUAUUUCCUUCCCUUCCUUCUUUUUUUUUUUUUUUUUUUUUUGGCUAUUUCUUGGGCUGCACUCGCGGCAUAUGGAGGUUCCCAGGCUAAGGGUCUAAUCAGAGCUGUAGCCACCGGCCUACGCCAGAGCCACAGCAACGCGGGAUCCGAGCCGCGUCUGCAACCUACACCACAGCUCAUGGCAACUCCGGCUCGUUAACCCACUGAGCAAGGGCAGGACCGAACCCAAAACCUCAUGGUUCCUAGUCGGAUUCAUUAACCACUGCGCCACGACGGGAACUCCCCUUCCUUCUUUUCUUUCCUUUCCUUCUCUUUUUUUUUUUUUGCAGCAACGCUGGAUCCUUAACCUACUGAGCAAGACCAGGGAUCAAACUUGCAUCCUCAUGGACACUAUGUCAGAUUCUUGACCCACUGAACCACAAUGGGAACUCCUUUUCUUUUUUUUUUUUUCUUUCUUUUUUAAAAAAUUCUUAUUUUGCCGAUGGGCAACCUGAGGAGCAGAGAAGUUAAGCAACCUACUCAAGGUUGCACAGCUAACGGGUAGCAGAGCCUAGCUACAAAAGCAGUCUGGGGCCAUCGCCCACACACCUAACCAUCUUCUGUAUUUCCUUUUCAUCCCAGGACCUGGCACAUUGUCUCGGACCUAAUAGGUAUGCGGUUCAAUACAUAUUUAUUAAAUGAAGGAGCAGGUCUAAUAAGAAAAUAAAAUUUGCCUAUAAUCCUUUCA